GAUGAACGCUGGCGGCGUGCCUAAUACAUGCAAGUCGAGCGAAUGACGAGGAGCUUGCUCCUCUGAUUUAGCGGCGGACGGGUGAGUAACACGUGGGUAACCUGCCUGUAAGACGGGGAUAACUCCGGGAAACCGGAGCUAAUACCGGAUGAUAACGAGAAGCGCCUGCUUCUUUUUUGAAAGUCGGUUUCGGCUGACGCUUACAGAUGGGCCCGCGGCGCAUUAGCUAGUUGGUGGGGUAACGGCUCACCAAGGCGACGAUGCGUAGCCGACCUGAGAGGGUGAUCGGCCACACUGGGACUGAGACACGGCCCAGACUCCUACGGGAGGCAGCAGUAGGGAAUCUUCGGCAAUGGACGAAAGUCUGACCGAGCAACGCCGCGUGAGCGAUGAAGGCCUUCGGGUCGUAAAGCUCUGUUGUCAGAGAAGAACAAGUACCGGAGUAACUGCCGGUACCUUGACGGUACCUGACCAGAAAGCCACGGCUAACUACGUGCCAGCAGCCGCGGUAAAAC
rnacentral:rRNA from 1 species